rnacentral:misc_RNA from 1 species
GAAAUGCGAUAAGUAGUGUGAAUUGCAGAAUUCAGUGAAUCAUCGAAUCUUUGAACGCACAUUGCGCCCGCCAGCACUCUGGCGGGCAUGCCUGUUCGAGCGUCAUUUCAACCCUCAGAACCCCUUGCGGGAUCUGGCGUUGGGGAUUGGCAUCCAGCCAGCCCCGAAAUCUAGCGGCGGUCCCUCCGCGACCUCCCCUGUGCAGUAGCGAUACCUCGCAGCGGGACAGCGGUCUGACCACGCCGUAAAACCCCCAACUUCUCAAGGUUGACCUCGAAUCAGGUAGGAAUACCCGCUGAACUUAAGC